ACUGUUUAAAAAGGUGGAGGAGGAGACUGUUUGAAAAGGUGGAGGAGGGGACUGUUUGAAAAGAUGGAGGAGGACUGUUAGAAAAGGUGGAGGAGGGGACUGUUUGAAAAGAUGGAGGAGGACUGUUUGAAAAGAUGGAGGAGGAGGACUGUUUGAAAAGAUGGAGGAGGACUGUUUGAAAAGAUGGAGGAGGACUGUUAGAAAAGGUGGAGGAGGGGACUGUUAGAAAAGGAGGAGGAGGACUGUUUGAAAAGAUGGAGGAGGACUGUUUGAAAAGAUGGAGGAGGACUGUUAGAAAAGGUGGAGGAGGGGACUGUUAGAAAAGGUGGAGGAGGACUGUUUGAAAAGAUGGAGGAGGG